GUCCAUAUCUCCACCGCCCACUCUGCCAGGCAGAGAGAAAGAAAGAGAGGGAGAGAGAGGAGUGAAGCCUGGUACUGGUAGUUUCCAAAUGCUAAGCCUCCUCCUCUCUCGGACCGCCGGCGCGGCCACCCUCCUCCCUUCUCUUCACUCCAACAAGAUGAAUGAGAGCCCCAGAGCACGGAAGGCUGCCGCCAUCGUCAGCCGCGCCGGGGAGGUGCGGCGCCAGGUUCUCUCGGCGGACGGCCGGACGAAGCUCAACCCUCGCCCGGACAAGGAGUUCUACGACUACCCUCGGCUCGUGAAGCACGUGGACGACGGGUUCAUAGAGUCGUUGACGGAGACGUACAGGGAGAGGGUGGAAGGAGAGGGAGCGGAGGUGCUGGACCUGAUGAGCUCGUGGGUCAGCCACCUUCCAGCAGAGAUCCGGUAUCGGAGGGUGGUCGGCCACGGCCUCAACGCCGGAGAGCUUGCCAGGAACCCCAGGCUCGACCGCUUCUUCGUCCAGGACCUCAACGUCGACCACCGCCUCCCCCUCGGCAGCGCCACCUUCGACGCCGUCCUGUGCGCCGUCAGCGUCCAAUACCUUCAACAGCCCGAGCAGGUAUUUGCAGAAGUUUUUAGAGUUCUUAAACCAGGAGGUGUGUUCAUAGUGAGCUUCAGUAACAGGAUGUUCUAUGAUAAAGCAAUCAGUGCAUGGCGGGAUACGAGUGAUUACGGUCGGAUUCAGUUGGUUGUGCAAUACUUCCAAUGUGUAUCCGGUUUUACAGAGCCAGAGGUGCUGAGAGGCAUGCCCAGGAAGCAGGACGACCUUUCUCCCUUAACUUGGAUUAAGAGGUUGAUCGGCAAACUCAAUUCCGACCCCUUUUAUGCUGUAAUUUCUUACAAGAAUGUCCGGCCGAUUAAGGAUUGAGCUUGAUUCACCCCAUCAUGUGGAGAUCUCGUCUUUUACUUUCCGAUUUUACAAGGGUGGAACGAUGUUGCUGGAUAUCAGUUGGAGGAGCAAUAUAAGUUAAUGUAAAGAAUGAUGAAAAUCUUACCUUGAUUGGAGAUAUUGUAAAUAUUUCAAAUUCCAGGGUUCUUAAGGAGAUGCCAA